GAUGAACGCUGGCGGCGUGCCUAAUACAUGCAAGUCGAGCGAACAGACGAGGAGCUUGCUCCUCUGACGUUAGCGGCGGACGGGUGAGUAACACGUGGAUAACCUACCUAUAAGACUGGGAUAACUUCGGGAAACCGGAGCUAAUACCGGAUAAUAUAUUGAACCGCAUGGUUCAAUAGUGAAAGACGGUUUUGCUGUCACUUAUAGAUGGAUCCGCGCCGCAUUAGCUAGUUGGUAAGGUAACGGCUUACCAAGGCAACGAUGCGUAUCCGACCUGAGAGGGUGAUCGGCCACACUGGAACUGGGCCACGGUCCAGACUCCUACGGGAGGCAGCAGUAGGGAAUCGUCCGCAAUGGGCGAAAGCAUGACGGAGCAACGCCGCGUGAGUGAUGAAGGUCUUCGGAUCGUAAAACUCUGUUAUUAGGGAAGAACAAAUGUGUAAGUAACUAUGCACGUCUUGACGGUACCUAAUCAGAAAGCCACGGCUAACUACGUG
rnacentral:rRNA from 1 species